GGCCAUACUACAUGCUGAAUAUGUACCGGUUCUCGUUAGAUCACCGAAGUCAAGCAUCAUUGGGCGCGGUCAAAGUAUCUGGGUGGGUGACCACCUGGGAACACAAGUG
rnacentral:rRNA from 1 species